AUGAGUCAGCAACGGUAUGGAAACUUGACAACAUUAGCUCGGGAAAGAUGCCACUCACAGUUGAAUAAGUCUGGACUGGUACACCAAGGUAUUGCUAGGCGGACCAUGCAAGAGAAAUCAAGUCAAAUAGCAGAUUUCAGCAGGAAAAGGGUUUCUCACAGGCCUAAUUUGCAAGAUGAGGAACUAUGGAAAAAGUACGAGUUAGCUACAAAAGAUGGAAAUGAUGCGGCAACUAGUACACCAAUCUUGUUUACUGCAAAUUGGGAUGCGAAUGAUUCCGGAACUAUGAAUGAUGAAGUUGAUGCCAACAACGAUGGUGACAUGGGAAUGGUCCAAUAUUACUGA
rnacentral:rRNA from 1 species